rnacentral:lncRNA from 1 species
CUAACCUUCACAUCCCAGACACACACACGUACACGCACACACAUGCAUGCACACACAUACACACACACUCACCCCUACCCACCCAGCAACCACAUGAGGGUGUGACUCAGCCUUGAGUGCCCUCCCUGUGUGUACAAGUCCACCCCCUACUGCCUCUCAGCCCCAGCUGUGGGACUCCUGGAGCCCACCUGCCUCCCAACAACCCUGUCUGCAGGACCAGGUCCCUUCAGGAUGACACCCCCCGCUGAGUGACAGUGUGCUGGGGGCGGGUAUGGACUUCUUCCUCGGCAGUCUCAGGCUUCCUGGCUGGGCCCUGUGAAUGAGGCCAGCCACAGGCAGAGUCAGGAGAGAACAAACAGGGCUUUUCUGCUGGUUCUCAGUGACUUUUACCUCAAAAUAAUCCAUGUGCCAAACAAGCAUAUUUUGGGAUAGCAUCUUCUGGUACCCUUCACUGAGUUUUCCAGCAAGCUAUAAAUAGGCAAAACUAUGAGAGUGGUCUGUGGAGCUUUACAGUUGGACCCUGGCUCCAGGAAUGUGUCUGACUUUGGCAUUAGCUUCG